GGCUCAUUGACGGCGCCCCGGCUUAUACCGUCAGCCGGAUUUUGGACAUCCGUCGCCGGGGUCGUGGCCAUCAAUACCUCGUGGACUGGGAGGGUUAUGGUCCGGAAGAACGCUCAUGGGUCUCCCGUUCUUUGAUUCUGGACCCUACCCUCAUCUCUGACUUUUUCCGUUCGCACCCGGAUCGGCGCCCCGGACCGCCUGGAGGCGGUCGUUGAGGGGGGGGUACUGUCAUGGUGCCUGGCAGACUCCUCCCCCUCCAGCCCUGCCUGCUCUUCUCCCUGAUUGCCACCAGCUGACUUCACUCACCUCAUUUGCCAUGCUGCUUAAAAGGAGACCUCACUCAUCAGUUCGACGCCAGUUCGUUGCCCAUUAUGGAUACCCACAUCUCACGAGUGACGUCAGCACUGCCUUCCACUCUGUGGCUCUUGGGAUCAUCUGAAGACCUCCCGGAUCACACUCACCGCUUUAAGCCCUCCAGCCACGCCAUCAGCCGCCGUCAAGACCGGACCUCAUUCAUCCACAACUACUACCAGCUUUGGAGAAUCAAUAAAUCCUUUCUCACCAAA